CGAUUCCGGAGAGGGAGCCUGAGAAACGGCUAUCCACAUCCAAGGAAGGCAGCAGGCGCGCAAAUUACCCAUUCCCGACGCGGGGAGGUAGUGACGAAAAAUAACAAUGCAGGACUCGUUCGAGGCCCUGUAAUUGGAAUGAGUACACUUUAAAAGCUUUAACGAGUAUCCAUUGGAGGGCAAGUCUGGUGCCAGCAGCCGCGGUAAUUCCAGCUCCAAAAGUAUAUAUUUAAGUUGUUGCGGUUAAAAAGCUCGUAGUUGGAUUUUGGGCGCAGGCGGCCGGUCCGUCGCAAGGCGUGUACUGGACGUCCUGGCCUUCCCUCCGGUUCUCCGCCGGUGCUCUUGACUGAGUGUCGGCGGCGGCCGGAACGUUUACUUUGAAAAAAUUAGAGUGUUCAAAGCAGGCUCUCGAGCCUGGAUAAUGGUGCAUGGAAUAAUGGAAUAGGACCUCGGUUCUAUUUUGUUGGUUUUCGGAGCGCGAGGUAAUGAUUAAGAGGGACAGACGGGGGCAUUCGUACUGUGCCGUUAGAGGUGAAAUUCUUGGAUCGGCGCAAGACGAACGACUGCGAAAGCAUUUGCCAAGAAUGUUUUCUUUAAUCAAGAGCGAAAGUCAGAGGUUCGAAGACGAUCAGAUACCGUCCUAGUUCUGACUAUAAACGAUGCCAACUAGCGAUCGGGGGGCGUUACAUUGACGACCCCUCCCGGCAGCUUACGGGAAACCA
rnacentral:ncRNA from 1 species